rnacentral:lncRNA from 1 species
GGAUGUCUUUGUGUGUUUUGGAUUAGCAUAUUUGAGGAAGGUCAGGGCUGAAGAGGACGUUUGAAAGGCCUGAUCUCUGCGCUCUCUUGAUCAGGGGCUCUGUAAACAGGAUGUGAUGACAAACGGCUCGACUCGACCCUUAAUAUCAGACGACGAGAUUCCCAUGAGCUGCAAACGAGUCGACCCAAACAUCUACAGAAAAACACGAGGGGCGGAUUCUCAAAGACGAGGAACCAACAGAUGAUUACUGAGUUCUUACAGCUCAGAGAGGACGUCGACAGGAGGACAGGUGUUCAGAGUUCACUCAGGUACAAGAUCCAGGUCCACUGAGAUCCAAGUGUUUCUAUCUUACCCGGACUAAUUUUAUCUGAUUUUAUCUGCUGACUGUUUUUUUAUUGUUUUGCCUUGUUGCUUGGUUUUUACUGUUAUUGUUGUCUUUUUGUGCACUUUGAGAUUUGUUUUUAAAUGUAAAGUGCGUUACAAAUAAAAUCUAUUAUUAUUAUUAUUAUUAUCUUCUUCAUUGAUAUUCCAGAUCAGACGCUCAGACUGCGUCAAAUGAGGGAUAAUGACACUAAACUGUGAAACAUAGAGAUACUGUCCUGUUCGAGCUGCUGCAGGAUUUUAGCCAAAAAUAAAGACCUGAUUCUUUUCUCUGAAAACUUGAUUUUCGAUUUUUUAUAUCAUGACAACUUCACCAAACUUCACUUUAAUAAAAAUAAAAAGUUUUUCUAUCGUCUCUCUAAACCAAACCACUGAAAACCAUGUAGUGUAUAUGCUGAGCCAGUAAGAGGCGCUGUAACGCUGCAGAGGAAAUGCACAAAAGACAGAAGAAGAGUACAGAGCAUGUGUAUAAAAGUUGUUUUGGCGCCAUAAAAGAGUAACCCCCGAUCUCCACCUUCAUCCUGAUCGUCUCCUAAAAGGUCGUAUCCUCCGAUCGUAGCUGAUCGUAACCAUUCAAGUUAACGUGUCAAUUUACACCGACUUCUUUCCGUUCCUCUGUGGAUCGCCGGACUCCUCAGCUGAUCACAAGAGUUCAAUUUUUUCUGGACGCCGGAGCAUGGCGGAUAAAUUCAGCACAGAUUAACCCGUGCUGGAAAGGAAGUCGGGCGCAGACACAAAAUAAAACAUCCGGCAAAAAUCGCUGCUGUUCUGGAUCGGAGCCGUUCCGUAUGCGGUGAAAUUUGGGGGUUACUCUGUGUGUCACAUGAUCGUUUCCAGAGAUGCAGAUAGACAUCCACACGGAGAUGAAAUGGUCGUCGUUUACAGAUUUAUUCACUCUCUGACCUGUUUUCAAAAAGUACCGUUUACAGUCACCUGAAACGCUGAUACAACAAAAACUUUGCGUUUCCUCCUGAAUUUGUUUCCGUGGUGACGGGUUCAUACCGCCUUCAGACAGACUUUACAGCGGGGAGUGGUUUACUCUUCAUCUGAAACUGUGAAGUCGUACCAAUUCAACACGACUGACUCGCUCUUGUCCUAUUUAACCACGAAAUUAUCGCCUUCUUUAACAAACGCCAUGUUUGUUUACACUGGUGAGUGUGGGAAGGGGGAGUCUACGGUGGCCUGGAGGUGCGAGACAUGAUAGAGAGGAAAAUCGAUUUGAGGAUUUUAACUUUUCUAACAUCGUCAUAAUUAAAUAAUCUGAUUAAAAUCGAUGAAUCGUGCAGCUCUAUGUCCCAUCACUGCUGAGUUUAAACAUGUGAAAAUAUUAAAACAUGACUUUGAAAAUGAGCUCACUGACUUCAGAUGUUAACUACAGAUACAACAAUCCACUGGAGAGACCUCCAAAAGGUGGAGGGUGGGUGGGGUUUGUUUAUUUUGGGGGUAAAUGACGGAUAUGGGACUGAAAACCAAAUCACUGUGUUAGUCCUGACUUUAUAAAUGAUGAUUGAGAAAAUGUUUUUGUUUUCUUUCAUUUAGUUGAACUGCCCCUUUAAUCUUGUUGAAUUCUUUCCCUUUAACAGUCCCGGACACUCUCCAUCUGAAUGAUAUUACCUUAAUUAAUGGUUAAUUACAGUAAAUAGCAGCCGUUUAAUCAUAAUUAGGAUCCUGAACUGUUGAAUGUCAACAUAGCGGUGUCACUUCUCAUUUCUCUGUUUAUUCAUUACAAGAGAGAAAAAAAGAAAAGGACGGAUGACGGAGGGCGAGUGUUUCUCUCUCUGUGGUCGGGUCAGGGCAUUAAUUAAUCCCACCGUGACAAGAGAGGGAAUAUUAAGCAGCUCAUUAGACCUGACGGGACAUAAACGAGUGUGAGGAGGAAUAAAUGAGCGUCUCUGCAACACCUUUGAGGAGAAUUCAAGAUGUGUGUUUUUCUGCUUCAGAGAGGAAAGAAGAGGAAGUGAUGAUGAAGAAACAGAGAGAAGAAGAACAAACGCUGACUUUUUUCACUGUUUGCCUUCGUGGGCCUAAAGCUGAAAUCACCCAUUAACCUUUUGAACCUGCAGCCGCCGGAGCACAAACAGCUCGGCUCUGAUUCACUGCAGUCAUUAGCGUCUCCAUUAAUUCCUCAGUCUGAGUCCAGAUCCAGCAGUUUACACAGACUGAAUCAGCAGGAGUCCAGGAGCGGAGAACCCGGAUCCUCCAGAGAUCCAGUCUCGGUCCAGGUCAAACAUUUAGACGGUGAAUCAACAGACGAUUGGUGACAUUUUGAAGGUGAGCGCUCAUACACUCGGAGCUCGGAGGACUGCUGCAGCCCGGCUAUAAAAAUGCUGAAUUGCUGGAUGAUUGCUUGACCUUUGCAGCAAAGAGCUGAUGGGAAAUGAGGCGUUAAACUUAUUCUGUGUCGGUCUGAGCAUUAGUGUCCCCGCAGACCCGGUUAGACCUUUGACAGGACUGAGCGAGAACCUCUCAGGCUGUAAAAAUGAUCUGACAGUUUUACGCUCAGGUGUCGGCGCGGCGUGCUCCUGUUUGUCAAGGAAACUGCCGUUCGUUGUGUCAUCAUCCAAGGCUUCAUUAAAUCACGCUCAGAACGAUGUCACACACGCCGUAAAGAUGGACGACAUGACGGCUGUAAAGACAGGAAACACCGAAGCGGCGGAGGAUGAGGAGAGGUUUUCAUCAGCAGAGUCUCGUCUUUGUUUGUCCUGAUCGUGAUCCUUCAUUUUCACCUCUCUCUGCUGAUGAUGUUGUUCUGUUCUUCGGACUAGGAUUUGGCAGUUUAAAGAGAUAUUCCGGCGUAAAAUGAAUUUAGGCUCUAAGUUAGACCCCCUCCCCCAGAGAUGAAUGUUGUCGACCGCUUACUUCUCUAGUUAUACCAACUUUAGUAACGACCGCAGGAUAGCAAUACAGAGAGACACGCACUCAACCAAAACGCCACUCUAUAGCCACAAAUAAUGCUCAGAACAGCACCUAACUUCAUCAACAGGACAUAUAGGGUCACAGACAUAGUACUAUAUUCAGAGUUGUUCUAACUCCUAAGAAAACAUGAACUUAAGCGGGGGCGUUUCUCCACUUCUGUAGUCUGUAAGCUGGACCAAAAACUUCUACUGUAGUAAAAUGAAAAGGUAAAGGUGUUUUUAUUGAGCCGAAUUAUCAAUAAAAUCAUGAUUUUGUUAACAGGUAUGGAUUUAUGUGCUGUUGAGUUAAUAUAUUUGAACAAGAGCACAGUAAAGUUAAAUCAGCUAAUUUUCCAAUGAGGUUCUGUUACUGAACGGAACUACAUCAUGAUCUACUGAGGUUAGUACAUAUAGGGUCACAGACAUAGUACUAGACACCAAACAUCUUUUUAACUUUAGCAAAGAGACUAAACACAACUCACCUACUCUCUUCCAGCAGACGCUUGUUUGUAGAGAGACCUCAGGCCAGUCCAUUACAGACUACAGCGGGGUGCUGCAGCUCAAGGAAGAACAUUUAUGAUCAUUUCUUCAUGGAAAUGCAAUCAGACCGAGACGCUAAGACAGAAGAACUACCGCGUCUGUAAAAUGAUUAAUAUGGUGAUUAUUACUUCAAGGAAAUGAUAAAGAAAUGAUCAUAAAUGUUCUUCCUUGAGCUGCGGCACCCCGCUGUAGUCCGUAAUGGACUGGCCUGAGGUCUCACUACAAACAAGCGUCUGCUGGAAGAGAGUAGGUGAAUGUUUCAGUUAAGCGUGGCUCUAAGUAUUACUGUCCUACAGUUGUUACUUAAGUUGGUAUAACUAGAGAAGCAAGCGGUCGACAACAUUCAUCUCUGGAGGGGGGGUCUAACUCAGUGUUACGGUGGGUUUGACUCUACAUCAAUUUUACAGCGGAAUGUCCCUUUAAGAGGUUCUGAUCCGUUCCCUGUUUAUCCACCGGUGUGUUUAAGGUGAAAACAUGAAUCAAAGUGUGUCUGUUUUCAGUCUGUUUAAAAGUCAGACGUUCCUUCAGGCAGUUGUUUUAUUAAAUUUACAUUUCAGACCUUUUGAUUAAAUUCUGUGUAAAUGUGAGAGUGUGCAUGAUGGAGAGCUGGGUGACGGUUUUCUGGGUAUAACCAAGAGUGUGGAGGUCACAGGUUCAUUUUGGUUGAAAAACUCUAAUGUAGUGGUUUUUAUUUAUCUACGCCCACUUCCCCUAAAAGAUCAGCAAACAGAGACAGAAAUAUCUACAGUGCAGGACAGAUAAAAGUAAAUAAAUGAAGUACUCACUGGACAGGUUUCAGCAGGACUUAGUCUGGCAGACGGUCACCAUGAUCCCAGGAGGCCAACAGGUUCCUCUGUAUGAUCAGACGUCCCCUUAUAUACCCCUAAGCCCCGCCCCUGGACAAACCCAUAAACUAAUUAUCAGGGUUAAAGGCUUAAUUAUUGGCACAAUCAAACACCAAACUCAUAAAUCAGUGAUAAAUGAUAAAGAAUUAAAGGAACUUGAUUAAAGCCCUCCAUGCAGCUGUGACCUGAUUCACUCAAAACAUAAUAAACCAAAGAAAUAAAACACAAAUGAACAUUAAUGGUUUAGUCCGUGGUCACAUGACUCCAAGAAACGCGCCAACAAACGCUUUUUACGUUCUGACCAGGAAGUGUCCCGGUUUGGCUCAUGAAGACAGCAGCGACCAGUGUGUGUGUGUGUGUGAGGCGCGCAGGCCCCGAGUGUGGACCCUCGAACCUACAGAACAGAGUCCAGGUAGGAACCAGUUUGAAGGAGUACAGGGCUGCGGGAAACACUUUAAUGGAGUUUGAUUUCGCGGGAAAUGUGAGCGCACCGAGCGCGCCAAAACCCUGGGCCAAAAGAGAGAGGGAGGGCCGCGCGCCGGUCGGGGUUGACGGGGCGUUUAGAGCCGCUCUGUCGCGGUGCAUGAUGGAGAUCUGUGUGGUGGUCUCAGUCUGGAUGUUUGAGUCAUGAAGGUUUGAGGUGAAGCAGGUCUGUGACAUUCAGAGUGUCAGUUCUGCUGUGCGUAACUGUGCGUAAAAUCAGACACCGCACCAUGGAGUCCAGAGUUCAGACCAGGUUCUGGUCGGUUUUAGUCCAGUUCAGAGCUUUAUGUGGGGUCUUCAGUUGGUGGUUCAUUGACUCCAAACCAGAUCAUACCUGCCAACACUCCCGUUUUCCCCGGACUCUCCCGUAUCUCUGACCUCUCUCCCGCCCUCCUCCCGUUUUCUCGUUUCUCCCGAAGUUUGAUGGUCCACCUUCAUUCAUGGAUCUGAUCACUGGAUGUGUUUCUGCUGAGCCUCACAGACUCUGAACUGAUCCUUCACAGUUUGGGAUGAUUCAGCUCGGUUUAAGCUGUAAACUAUAUUUAAAGAGUGUUUGUAGUAAAAUGAAACAAACCUGAGACAUAAUAUUUACGUUGAUAGGAGUGAUGCGUUCAGGGCAGCCUCAGAUAACAGAGUGCUGUAUUUCACACACAGAUGUUCAGAGAGAAACAUAUGAGGACUUUAAUAUAAGUGGACUAAAUAAGUUCACAGCAUAUCAUAGAUAUUAUUUUUUAUUACCUUUUGUUAUUGUUAAAACAUAAAGUGUGCAGCUUCACUUUGACUUAUUUAGAUAAGAAACUUAAUUAUAAACACUCUCAUAAUUCGCUCAGAUCCAUCAGACAAGGGAACCUCAAAACUGACCGGCACUCGCCGCAAAAAUCUCCCAGAUUUUAUAACCGAUAUGUUUGCAGGUGUGAGGUGAUGGGUGAGGAAAGGAGAAGAGGAGUGGAGGGUGAGGAAGAGCGUGUGAGUGUGUGUGUGUGUGUGUGUGUUUGACAGUGCUUUGCUUAUUUCUAUCCUGAGCAGGUUUCCAGUUGUCGUUGAUGGCUGCUGAUUGUUUGAUGAAGAACAUGUCGAAAUGUUUAGAUAUCAGUCAGUUUUAUCUGGAGGAACCCUCAGUGCUGAGAGUAUGUCGAGUGUGUGUCUUUGUGUGCAUGUGUGUGUGCUUGUGUGUUUAUGUAUCCACAGAGUCCACCAAAGUCAGAGGAAGUUCAUUUUGUUCUGAUGUUGUUUUCAAACCUUCAUCCAUCUUGGUUUUCAAUAAUCAGCAUCAGUUCUCAUGUUUUGCUGUCAUAUAAAGUUCCUUUAGUGUUUCUGUAGGUUAAGUAAUAAAAGUCUGCCGAUGUUUUCUACCUAAAGAAGCAAAACUCACAGAUUUAUGUCGUGAAAGAAACUGAUGCAGUAGAGCCUGUAAGACCCCUCAGCCUCAGGACCGACCAUGAUCCUGAUUCCAGCGAGGUUUGAUGGAUAAAAACAACGAUUUUAUUUCUGUCAUCUUCACGUUUUCUCCUCCUGCACCUGUCUGCCGGUGGAGCCGUGUUUGUAACCGAGCUGCUCUGAAAUCUCCUCACCUGCUUUAGAAUUGGGGUCAAAGUUUUCACCGCUCUUGUUUUGUUCAGGAUAUCUGAAACACAUCAGCUGUGGACGCUCCGACAUCGGGCAGCAUCCUCCUCCUCUCUCCUCCUCCUCCUCCUCCUUGGCGGUCAGUAAUCGAUGUUUACACGGGAGGAGAAAUAGUUUGCUCAGAUCAGACGUGCCGCUGUCAGCAGGAGACGUGAGGAGGAGGAGGAGGAAGAAGUGUGUCAGCUGUGAGGGGGGAGAAACCCUGCAGAGGAAAUGAGUGAGUCUGACAGGAGAGAGAGGAGAAGAUGGACAGGAAAAGACAUGAGCAGAGAGAGAGAGAGAGAGAGAGAGAGAGAGGAAAACAUACGUGAGGGGGGGAAUUAAUGGAAAUAGAGAGAGUGGCCUGAGGCAGAGCUAAAUGCAUUAAGAGUUAGUGAAGAGCAGGAAAUGAUGUUAUUACUGAGGAGUGUGGAGGAGCAGGUUAUUAGAAAUGAAGAAUUGUCCAAACGUCUGUGAGCAGAAAUGUUCUUUUUGCAGCUCAGAGCUGAGAGAGAAACCCCAGAACUGGUUCAUCAGGAACCAGGACCACCUUUACUGGGAUCUGACCAGAAUAACUCGAGAUAACUUCACAUUAGGACUUUUCUUCUUUCUUUUCAACACAUAAUGAACAUUUCCAACGCUCUCUUUAAAGGGAUAUUCAGGCGUAAAAUUAAUUUAGGGUCAAACACACUGUAACACCGAGUUAGACCCCCCCUCCAGAGAUGAAUGUUGUCGACCGCUUCCUUCUCUAGUUAUACCAACUUUAGUAACAACCGCAGGAUAGAAAUACAGAGAGACACGCCCUCAACCAAAACGCCAACAAAAAGAGACUAAACACAACUCACCUACUCUCUUCCAGCAGACGCUUGUUUGUAGUGAGACCUCAGACCAGUCCAUUACAGACUACAGUGGGGUGCCGCAGCUCAAGGAAGAACAUUUAUGAUCAUUACUUCAUCAUUUCCUUGAAGUAAUAAUCACCAUAUUGAUCAUGUAAUCAUCAGUUCUUCUGUCUUAGCGUCUCGGUCUGAUUGUAUUUCCAUGUAGAAAUGUAUGGUCAGUGUGUACUAAAGGGUCAGAAGAUGAUUUCGAGAUGUUACCACCACUUAACCGAGUCCGUCUGAUUUAGUACCUCAUUGGAGGAACAAACUAUUAAACAUUUAAUUCCUUCCAUAAUGAAAAGUCUCUCUUGGCCCACUUUCCUUUCCACAAACUGCAACUGCACAGAGUCAACAACAAAACCGUCGUUCGCACAAUGGUAGGUGAUCACACACAAACACGUCUGCCUUUCUCUCACACACACACUCACCCUUAAACAAAUUAUUAUGUACUGAGGUCCUGCAUCAAAUACACUUGGUUCAGUGGUGGUAACAUCUUGAAAUCAUCUUCUGACCAGACAGUGUUUUCGUACGGGUCAAGUCCACUAAUGUCCAUAAUUCAGCUCAGGUAACGCUCUCUUUCUUUGUUCAGCUCGUUCCUGUACGGUCUGUUGAGUCCAAGUUUUGUUCUCUCCAUUCUGUUCUCCGUUACUGUGUAGUCAGAUAAUAAAUAGUUGGUUUUUAAAACCUAACGUCAUCAUCUUAGUGUUGUUAUGUCUGUUAAAAUGGCCGCACUGGCACGUUACGCACCACGCGCCCCCGUGCUGACGUCGGCGCUGCUACACUCCAUAGAGUGGCGUUUUGGUUGAGGGCGUGUCUCUCUGUAUUUCUAUCCUGCAGUCGUUACUAAAGUUGGUAUAACUAGAGAAGAAAGCGGUCGACAACAUUCAUCUCUGGAGGCGGGGUCUAACUCGGUGUUACGGUGUGUUUGACUCUAACUUAUAUUUAAGUUCACACCAUCUUCAUCCUGAAUCCUCAUCCUGAGUGUCCGUGUCUGAACCUGCAGCCUCCCUCCAAACGUUUCAAUAUUCUGACAGACAAUAACAGUCAAAACUCUCAGCACCUGAGGAUUACCUCCAUCUCUCUCUCCAUCUCUCUCUCUCUCUUUCUCUCUCUCGCUCUCUCUCUCUCCAUCUCUCUCUCUCUCUCUCUCUCUCUCUCUCUCUCUCUCUCUCAGUGAAAAUUCCUGUUUUGGACUCGGUUGUAGAUUUGUUCGAGCGGAUAAACAGCUCACUUCUUUUUGACACGCCGGGUUUUAAAGCUGUACUUUUUAAUCGGUUCCUGUCAGAUUCAGACGGGCGCUGAUUGAGUCGGAGGUAAUGAAAUGAGUAAUUAUGCACAUUAUAAAACAGGAGUGAAGCGUUUAACCAGUUUAUAAAAUAUGAUGCAUGCUUUAAAAUGUCACGCAUAUUCAGUCCUAAAGGCAGCGGGUGAAAAAGUAAAGUGGAGUUUACAGCGUGGGAGUUUUUCUGAAACAACAAGAACGACAAAGAAGGAGCGAUUGAGUCGAAGGGAUUUCAGUCUGUGAAAUUAACUUCUGUGAGAUCCCCAGUGUGGAGGGCCCCCACGAGGAAACUCUGGAGCUAAAAAGACUAGGACAUAGAAGGAAUUAAAAUAAUGUUAAAAUAUCUAAGUGACGUAAAAAUGUGAUAAAAGUAAAGGAUAAAAUAAACUAAAACUAAAUUAAAAUAAUGUUAAAAUAUCUAAGUGACAUAAAAAUGUGAUAAAAGUAAAGGAUAAAAUAAACUAAAACUAAAUUAAAAUAAUGUUAAAAUAUCUAAGUGACAUAAAAAUGUGAUAAAAGUAAAGGAUAAAAUAAGCUAAAACUAAAUUAAAAUAAUGUUAAAAUAUCUAAGUGACAUAAAAAUGUGAUAAAAGUAAAGGAUAAAAUAAGCUAAAACUAAAUUAAAAUAAUGUUAAAAUAUCUAAGUGACAUAAAAAUGUGAUAAAAGUAAAGGAUAAAAUAAACUAAAACUAAAUUAAAAUAAUGUUAAAAUAUCUAAGUGACAUAAAAAUGUGAUAAAAGUAAAGGAUAAAAUAAACUAAAACUAAAUUAAAAUAAUGUUAAAAUAUCUAAGUGACAUAAAAAUGUGAUAAAAGUAAAGGAUAAAAUAAACUAAAACUAAAUUAAAAAUAAUGUUAAAAUAUCUAAGUGACAUAAAAAUGUGAUAAAAGUAAAGGAUAAAAUAAACUAAAACUAAAUUAAAAUAAUGUUAAAAUAUCUAAGUGACAUAAAAAUGUGAUAAAAGUAAAGGAUAAAAUAAACUAAAACUAAAUUAAAAUAAUGUUAAAAUAUCUAAGUGACAUAAAAAUGUGAUAAAAGUAAAGGAUAAAAUAAACUAAAACUAAAUUAAAAUAAUGUUAAAAUAUCUAAGUGACAUAAAAAUGUGAUAAAAGUAAAGGAUAAGAUAAACUAAAACUAAAUUAAAAUAAUGUUAAAAUAUCUAAGUGACAUAAAAAUGUGAUAAAAGUAAAGGAUAAAAUAACCUAAACCAGUUAAAUCAGCUAAAAGCUAAACUAAAAAGGUCACGUUCUGGUCCUAAACGGGUUCUCAGUGCUGCGUGUAAACCCCGGGUCUUCAUUUAUCAACGGAGCGUAGGAAAGGUUCUAAAUGAAAUAUCGAAUCUGCGUUAGAACAAAAAAUACGUAUUUCUCACGUGGACACGGUCGUACUCAAACUAGUCAGUCAUGGUUAGGGUCAUUAACAUUAGACACGCCUCCAACUGACCAUAUAUGGUAUCAACUAUCCCUUUAAAAAUGCCUGAAUGGAUUUUCCCCCUCGCUGAAAUCAUGGAGGUGCACGCUCACAGUCGUGCGUUCCUCCAACCUGUAACAGAUCCAUAUGAUCAUCUCAGAUUAUUGAUCAUUGAUUGAAUGAAAUCCUUGAAUUUAUCCUGUGAAGGUGCUUUUAUCACGAUGUGGCGUGAAAUCCUGGUUUUAUUCCGGCGUGUUGCUGACGUGUGUUCGAGAACUGGAUGUAAGUCGAGGUCAGAGAAAUUAUUGAUCAACUCUGCCGACAUGAUUCUGUUAGCGUUGUCUGUGAAAUGUCGUCUUCGUCUCCGAUCUCAGGCUGAAAUGUUCAGGUUAGGGUGGACAGGAGCUGGAUGGUCACCGGGAUGAUGGCGUCGAUGCGUUUUGUACAGAGGGAACAGAGAAUAUGUGUGAAGUUUGAGAUUGCUAAACGCUGUGACUCCUUUAAUGGUUCUAGUUGUAGUUUCACUGUUCGACCACUAGGGUUUGUGUGUACUCAUGCUCAGAGUUCCUAAGAACAAGUUCAGGUUGGAAAUGUUCGUUCACACGGUCGAUAAACGAGACUCCUGAACAAUAAGAGUAAAGUUUCUGCACACGUGCGUGAACCUCUUGACCCGUUGAAAACGGCGUUUUAUAAGGAGGUCAGUUUUCUCUGUGUGAGUCUUCCUGUGUCAGAAACCUCCUGACCUUUGACCUCUGUCCGAACUCCAUGAUGUUGUUGAUCUCCUCGCUGAUGUCUGCAGCUGUCUGACAGGCUGAUGAACUCGCUCUGCCCCGGGGUUCUGACAGUGAGCCGGAGCGUGACAUUCGCCCACAGCUCCUCUGCAGGACCGACCCGCCGCCCCCGCCGCCGCCGCCUUUCUGUGUGUUUGACUGACUGAUUCUCUGAGGUUUGUAUUCAGCUCCAGGAUCCUGAGGAGGGUUAUGAAGCGUGAUAUUAGACCCGCAGCUUCACAGCAGGAGACUCCAGAGUCCUAACAACCUGUGAGUAUCUUCAACCCGUCAGCUGUGACUGACAGACGAACUCAUCUGGAAAAGAAAGAGCAGCUGGAGGAGGAGGAGGAGGAGGAGGAGGAGACUGAAGCUGCUGUCCACAGAUGAUCGGAGGAGGACUCUGACCAAGAACUGAACCUCAUACAGACCAGAGAGUCCCUCAGAGCAGAUCCACAGACUCUCCGGACAGAAACAUGAAUUUCUCUUCUCUACUUUUUCUGCUGCUUCUUCAUCCUGUAAGUGUUUAAAGUGGGUUUGAUCGUUCGCUGAGUCCACCUGAGUCCACCUCUGAGAUGAUCCUGUAAUGAGCUCAUCCAGGGAGGAACCAGGUUUUCAUUAAACCUGAAAAUAGAUUUUCUGCUCAUUAAAGAUGUUGUUCAAAGGAAAUUCAUCAGAACCAGAACCUCCGUUAGAGCGGACCGGAGAGGAAAUUAAUCUGCUGGAUCAUAAUUACCACCACGGCUGUGUGUGUGUGUGUGUGUGUGUGUGUGUGUGUGUGUGUGUGUGUGUGUGUUCAGGGUGUCAGUGUGAGGUUAGCAGACAUGCAGCAGUCUUCAUUCAUUCAUUCAGCUCCUGAUAGGGUCUCAUCAUGACCGACAGAGUUCAGAUGAAGCCUCAGUAGGGCUGGGCGAUACGGGAAAAAGUUUAUCAUGAUAUAUAUAUAUAUAUAUAUAUAUAUAUAUAUAUAUAUAUAUAUAUAUAUAUAUAUAUAUAUAUAUAUAUAUAUAUAUAUAUAUAUAUAUAUAUAUAUAUAUAUAUAUAUAUAUAUAUAUAUAUAUAUAUAUAUAUAUAUAUAUAUAUAUAUAAGAGACGUGACAUUGUUGUUGGUUUUCUUUUCUUCCUGAUUUGUAUUUUACUGUCUUAUUUGAUUAAAUAAUGUUCCAAAUAAAAUUAAAAAAAUAAAUAAAUAAAAAAAAAAUAUAUAUAUAUAUAUAUAUAUAUAUAUAUAUAUAUAUAUAUAUAUAUAUACAUACGGGAAAAAGUUUAUCAUGAUAUAUAUAUAUAUACUUAUAUAUAUAUAUAUAUAUAUAUGUAACGUAUGUAAUAUAUAACGUCUCUUUAAAGAUAAGAGUCGGAGAAGAAGCUCCGACUCUGUGGAGGAUUUACACGAUCUGCUGAAAUCAGCUGAUCUGAGAGUUUGGGUGAAACGUCAUGAUGAUCUGAGGGUGAAUUUGAAAAGGAUCCAGACUGUAGAGGUUCAGUUUGAGAGGUUUCUUUAAUCAGCCGUGAGUCAGUAAUGUGAAGGCAGGAUCGAUUCAGAGAGACGCUCUGGUGUUCACCUGGAGAUGUUUCCUCCUGUGAUAGUUUGACAGGGUUUCAUGAACACUGAGGAGAGUUUCAGGAGCUGGAUGAAAGGGUGAGGAGAGGUCUGAUGGAGGAACAUGGUGCUGUAGAUUCAGAGGAGUCAUGGAGAAGUCACAGCGCCACCUUCAGGACUAACGUUAAUGUCGUGACUGGGGGGACACUUAAUUUAUGAAAUAUUGAUAAAGUUUUAACAGUAAACGUUGAUAGUGUUGUUUCUUGUUGCUGGUUUUUGUUUUAAAACAGAGGAUGAAGAAGCAGCAGCAGCUGCUGGUGAGUUCGCUGUAGCUCACUGACGUUUAAAGGAUCACUGUGAAUCUAAAGUCUCUUCAGGUUACUCAUAAUUUAAACUGUCAAACUUUCUAACCACAGACCAGAAAACGCUCAUACUUCAAAAUAAAAGCAUGGUUUUACAACAUUAGACAUAAAACAACCUAAAUGUAAGAUAGAGUAGAUAUCAAAAUAAGAGUCAAACCCAGUUCAGGACUCGACGGUGCGACUGUUUCACUCAGAUUUACAACUAAAAGUAGAUGUUUGUGAAUUGUAAAAUGUAUUUAGGGUCACAUGUGGGAAUAAAAAAAUCAACAAAUGUUUUUUCCUGUAAAUACGGCGGUGAAGUUAGUUUCAGGUUGGAUAUAUUUUGCUGGUAGUAAGUCAGACUCUGAGGAUGUGGUCUUGUUGGACCUUCAGUUCUCGAGUGUGAGGCGGCUGGGAUGAGAAUCAGAACCUCCAAGUCAAGAGAAUCUGUUGCCAUGGAGACGUAACCACCUCUGGAACUGGAGCGACUCUCAAUCCUUCAUCAGUUCGUCUUUAAAGUGAUGGAGUAGUUUCUGAUAAACUGGUGUUCAGUUGUGAGGACUUUUAUUUUGAAAGAACAUCGUUGUCGUCGUUGUUGUUGUUGUUAGUUUUGUCUCUCUGUUAAUCUGCAGAGUGUUUUCUGUGUAAUCCAGUGGUGAGCGUCUGAACUCUGGUGGAGCUGCAGUAAACCAACAGCUCAUCCAGGAGUCUGAUCGUCUUUGUUCUGAAACAACAAAAACGUUCAGGAGAAAGCUCCAGGAUUAGUGGAGCUGCUGUCCAACAUCAGCGUUCAAGGAGAAAACAGAGGAAAAGUUCGACUCGGAGAACUUUAAAUACAGUUCGGGUCUCUUUGUUCUCUGACCGAGCUUCAUAAAUCCUGGAUUAUCAAACACCUGGAGGCUGUUUUUAACUCUCACUGAGGAGUAAAACAUUCAUAUUUAUAGUAUGAGCCAGGAGGAGAGGUUUGAAGGUGAGAGGAGAUCAGGUGAGCGAGCGGUGUGGCCUCACCUGACUUAUAGAUCUAAUGAGAAGAGAGAUAAUCUGUGUCUUUAACAGACUCCUGAAUGUCUGUCAGUUCUGUGGAAAGAGAGAAAAGCUUAAAAAAAAGAUUUUCACAUCGAUAAGUUUAUGCAUGAAAGAAAAUCACAAGAGUGAGACGUACUGUGAAGAAAGUGUCUCCAAACGAUGAUAGAUGUCUUCAUUUUGUUCUCACAGAAGAACAGCAGAGCAGAGAGAGUCUGAACCUUCAGAACAAACUAAAUAAUGAAUCUUUAAAAACACAUCUUAACCUUCACCCGCUCUGUUAAAGCUCUUAUAUAUGUGUGUGUUUUAUUUACUGGCAGCAUGAAGACGUACAGACGUCAGUCAGAAGUCCACCCAGCAGGAGCUUCUCUGCGGCGAUCUUCAUCAUCAUGAUCUGAGUGACGGCCUGCAGGCAUUUCACACCG